rnacentral:rRNA from 1 species
CCCGCAAGGGCAACCGGCGAACGGGUGCGUAACACGUGAGCGACCUGCCUGAGUGCGGGGGAUAGCCGGCCCAACGGCCGGGUAAUACCGCAUACGCUUGUUUGAGGGCAUCCUUGGACAAGGAAACCUCCGGGGCACUCAGAGGGGCUCGCGGCCUAUCAGCUAGUUGGCGGGGUAAUGGCCCACCAAGGCGACGACGGGUAGCUGGUCUGAGAGGAUGGCCAGCCACAUUGGGACUGAGAGACGGCCCAGACUCCUACGGGAGGCAGCAGUGGGGAAUCUUGCGCAAUGGCCGAAAGGCUGACGCAGCGACGCCGCGUGUGGGAGGAAGCUCUUCGGGGUGUAAACCACUGUUGCCCGGGACGAAUAGCGAGUUUCGACUCGCCUGACGGUACCGGGUGAGGAAGCACCGGCUAACUCUGUGCCAGCAGCCGCGGUAAUACAGAGGGUGCGAGCGUUGUCCGGAAUCACUGGGCGUAAAGGGCGCGUAGGCGGCUUGAUAAGGUUGCGGUGAAAGCCCGGGGCUCAACCCCGGGUCGGCCGUGGCAACUGUCGAGCUGGAGCACUGUAGAGGCAGGUGGAAUUCCGGGUGUAGCGGUGGAAUGCGUANAGAUCCGGAAGAACACCGGUGGCGAAGGCGGCCUGCUGGGCAGUGGCUGACGCUGAGGCGCGACAGCGUGGGGAGCAAACAGGAUUAGAUACCCUGGUAGUCCACGCCGUAAACGAUGGGCACUAGGUGCUUGGGGGAGCGACCCUCCGAGUGCCGGCGCUAACGCAUUAAGUGCCCCGCCUGGGGAGUACGG